UACGGGGGGGGCAAGCGUUGUUCGGAAUUACUGGGCGUAAAGGGCUCGUAGGCGGCCAACUAAGUCAGACGUGAAAUCCCUCGGCUUAACCGGGGAACUGCGUCUGAUACUGGAUGGCUUGAGUUUGGGAGAGGGAUGCGGAAUUCCAGGUGUAGCGGAUGGAAAUGCGUAGAUAUCAGGAAGAACACCCGUGGCGAAGGCGGCUCUCUGGGACGGUACUGACGCUGAGACGCGAAAGCGUGGGGAGCGAACAGGAU
rnacentral:rRNA from 1 species